rnacentral:antisense_RNA from 1 species
GCUGAAUGCCCUGAAAACAACUGUAGGACGAUGAGAAGGUUUUGGCAGCUGCAAUCUUAAAGACCAGGAAGUGAGGUGAGAUCACCUGUAGAGGUCAUGCUGCCCAGUCUCAAGUCCCUGAUUAUAUUCAAGACGUGGAGCUCUCUUUUUCCCGUCCUGCUUUCUUUCCAGAAGUGCCUCAGAUGCAUCCUCCCCUUCUCUUUUCUCCACAUGAAGACAUCACUGACCAUCUUCUCUGGUUUGCUUUCCAACACCGAGCGCCAAGUGCUUCAAAGGUCAUGGUGCCCUGGGGCCAACAGCUACUUAUGUGGGCAUUUAUAACCAAAUAAAUAUUGAAAUGGCCCACAAA